GGCUGCGCGGCGCUCCUGGCGCGCACCUUGGCGUGCGGAGCUGGCACCUUGGCGCCGUGGGCGGCGGCGGGGCCAGCUGUAGAAUGUGAAGUUCCUUGUCUGCUGGCAGCCAGAGGCGACGAGUCUGGAUGUCAUGGAAGUGUAGGUCUCCUCGGGCGCGUCCCUUUUGGGCCGAGGAGCCUAACGGUUGGACCGCUGAGAGCUGAGAGCCGAGAGCCUUGGGGACUGGGCGACCGUCGUUCGGGAGUGAGGGCCGGCCCUGUCCGGGAGGGUCCCGGAGUGGGGACGGGGUGAACUGGACUCUCGCUUUGCCCCUCCGAACUUUCGCUUCCCCUCCACACCCUGUGUCUGGGGUGCGGGGCCGAGCACCUCCGUGUCCAGCUGCCUUUCAAUGUGCCCCCUCCUUCUCUCAUUCAUUUACCAGCAUCUUUGGGUCACAGUGCAGGGGUGGAGCCCAGCCUGGUAUCCGAGACGGGACUUAGAAGGCUAUAAAGGCCUGAGUCUGUCCGCCCUGAAAGUAGCUGGAGAAGAGACGAAUCAGGGCCGGGUAGAGCUCUGCUUUCCUCACUGGGCCCUGGGGAGCCCUUACUCAGAAGAGCUGCUCUCAGAGUUUGAUGGGAGCAGUCAACACUGUAAGGGAAACGGAAGGAUGCCAAUUCUGCGCUUCUCAGUAACUACAAGGUGUUUCAGUUACUAACUGAUCUGAAAGAACAGCGUAAAGAAAGUGGAAAGAGGCCGGGCGCGGUGGCUCAAGCCUGUAAUCCCAGCACUUUGGGAGGCCAAGACGGACGGAUCACGAGGUCAGGAGAUCGAGACCAUCCUAGCUAACCCGGUGAAACCCCGUCUCUACUAAAAAAUACAAAAAAACUAGCCAGGCGAGGUGGCGGGCGCCUGUAGUCCCAGCUACUGGGGAGGCUGAGGCAGGAGAAUGGCUUAAACCCAGGAGGCGGAGCUUGCAGUGAGCUGAGAUCCGGCCACUGCACUCCAGCCUGGGCGACAGAGCGAGACUCCGUCUCAAAAAAAAAAAGAAAGUGGAAAGAUUAAACACAGCUCUGGACAACAGAAUUGAACACCAUCACCUAUGAAGUAAGCCUGGGCUUCUGGCAGACCUACCUAAAGUACCAUUGAGGGAGGUGAGUUUAUUCUGCCGAUGACUGGCUGCUGAAAUCAAGAUCGCCUUUUAUCUGAUCUGAAUAGUUUUACUGUAACCUGAUUUUUAUUCUGUUUAUAAAAGUGGGAGGAGUUUGGUCAAGUGUAGAGUUUAGCCAGCUACAAAGUUAGAAGGAAUAGUGUACAAGAUUGCCCUUACUUCUCCUUGAAAGGGGAUCACAGCUCAUUGCAGCUUCAACCUCCUAGGCUCAAGUGGUGCUCCCAGCUCAGCUUCCCAAGUAGCUGGGACUAUGGGCAAGCACUGUCAUGCCUGGCUAAUUUUUUUUGUUGUUGUCCAGGGUGGUCUCGAACCCUUGGGCUCAAGCGAUCUUAUCACCGCAUCUUUCGAAAGUGGUAGGGACUUAGACGCUUAAGGCUAUUGUUUAUUUUGUAAAGUUUCAGAUUCCUCCCAAAAUAUGUAAUUAUAAUUCCUCCCAAACUGUAUCUGUAUUCUUCCUCAAAAGCCACAAAUUCUGUGUAAUCAUGAGAAAAUAUCAGACCAUUGCAAAUCAAUUUAAAAAAAAAAAAAAAAAAAAAAACAAAAAAAAAAAACCUUUAUUUUGAAAUCAUUUUUCUUUUUUUUUGGAGACAGAGUCUCACUCUUGUUGCCCAGGCUGGAGUGCAAUGGUGCGAUCUCGGCUCACCACAGCCUCUGCCUCCCAGGUUUAAGCGAUUGUCCUGCCUCAGACUUCUGAGUAGCUGGGAUUACAGGCAUGCACGACCUAGCCUGGCUAAUUUUGUAUUUUUAGUAGAGAAGGGGUUUCUCCGUAUUGGUCAGACUGGUAUCGAACUCCUGACCUCAGGUGAUCCACCGAUCUCAGGCUCCCAAAGUUCUCGAAUUAUAGGUGUGAGCCACCAUGCCCAGCCAUUCUUCUCUUACAUAAAAGUUGUAGAGACAGUGCUGGGAGUUUUCAUGUACCCUUCCCAUAGUUUUCUCUGAUGUUAACAUCUUACAUAACCAUGUUAGAGUGAUCAAAACCAAGAAAUUAACAUUGGUACAUACUAUUAAAUAAACUAAGCUAAAAUUUUAUUUGAAUACCCUGUUUUCCCACUGCUGUCUUCUGGGUUCCAGGAUUCAGUUCAGGAUACCAUUUUGUAUUUAGUUAACAUGUCCCCAUCAUGUCAUUUGUUCUGUGUCCUUAUUCUUCCUUUGUCUUCUUUGACACUUGUGAAGGGCUGGUCAAGUAUUUUAUAGAACAUCCCUUGAUUUGUGAUUGUCUGAUAUUUUCUUACGAUUACCCAGAACCUAUGGCUUUUGAGGAAGAGUACCACAGAGGUGAUCUCCCCUUCUCAUGUCAUGAUAUCUCAGGGUACAUGAUAUCGAUGUUUCUUUAUUAUUUAUUUAUUUAUUUAUUU
rnacentral:lncRNA from 10 species